UCUAUAAUUCCUCAAAAAUAC
rnacentral:piRNA from 1 species